rnacentral:rRNA from 1 species
GGCUCAGAUUGAACGCUGGCGGCAGGCCUAACACAUGCAAGUCGAGCGGACCCUUCGGGGUUAGCGGCGGACGGGUGAGUAACGCGUGGGGUAGAGAGAAGCUUGCUUCUCUUGAGAGCGGCGGACGGGUGAGUAAUGCCUAGGAAUCUGCCUGGUAGUGGGGGAUAACGUUCGGAAACGGACGCUAAUACCGCAUACGUCCUACGGGAGAAAGCAGGGGACCUUCGGGCCUUGCGCUAUCAGAUGAGCCUAGGUCGGAUUAGCUAGUUGGUGGGGUAAUGGCUCACCAAGGCGACGAUCCGUAACUGGUCUGAGAGGAUGAUCAGUCACACUGGAACUGAGACACGGUCCAGACUCCUACGGGAGGCAGCAGUGGGGAAUAUUGGACAAUGGGGGCAACCCUGAUCCAGCCAUGCCGCGUGUGUGAAGAAGGCCUUUUGGUUGUAAAGCACUUUAAGCAGGGAGGAGAGGCUAAUGGUUAAUACCCAUUAGAUUAGACGUUACCUGCAGAAUAAGCACCGGCUAACUCUGUGCCAGCAGCCGC